rnacentral:rRNA from 1 species
GACGAACGCUGGCGGCGUGCCUAAUACAUGCAAGUCGAACGCAGUGGGGACGGGUGAGUAACACGUGGGUAACCUCCCAUCAGAGGGGAUAACACUUGGAAACAGGUGCUAAACCGAUACUGAUGGAUGUACCCGCGGUGCAUUAGCUAGUUGGGGGGGUAAAGGCCUACCAAGGCGACGAUCAGUAGCGGGUAUGAGAGGACGAUCCGCCACACUGGGACUGAGACACGGCCCAGACUCCUACGGGAGGCAGCAGUGGGGAAUUUUGGACAAUGGGGGCAACCCUGAUCCAGCCAAGCCGCGUGUAUGAAGAAGGCCUUCGGGUUGUAAAGUACUUUUGUUAGGGAAGCGGUACCUAAAGAAUAAGCACCGGCUAACUACGUGCCAGCAGCCGCGGUAAUUC